rnacentral:rRNA from 1 species
CCUACGGGAGGCUGCAGUGAGGAAUAUUGGUCAAUGGGCGGAAGCCUGAACCAGCCAAGUAGCGUGCAGGAUGACGGCUCUACGGGUUGUAAACUGCUUUUAUACGGGAAUAACGCGCCUUACGUGUACGGCUUCGCAUGUACCGUAUGAAUAAGGACCGGCUAAUUCCGUGCCAGCAGCCGCGGUAAUACGGAAGGUCCGGGCGUUAUCCGGAUUUAUUGGGUUUAAAGGGGGCGUAGGCCGCAUGUCAAGCGUGCUGUGAAAUGUCCUGGCUCAACCCGGGCCUUGCAGCGCGAACUGGCGUGCUUGAGUCCGCGGAAGGCAGGCGGAAUUCGUGGUGUAGCGGUGAAAUGCUUAGAUAUGACGAAGAACCCCGAUUGCGAAGGCAGCUUGCUGCAGCGGAACUGACGCUGAUGCUCGAAAGCGCGGGGAUCGAACAGGAUUAGAUACCCGAGUAGUC